CCUACGGGGGGCUGCAGUGGGGAAUAUUGCACAAUGGGCGCAAGCCUGAUGCAGCCAUGCCGCGUGUGUGAAGAAGGCCUUCGGGUUGUAAAGCACUUUCAGUUGUGAGGAAGGUUGUGUGGUUAAUACCCAUAUAAUUUGACGUUAGCAACAGAAGAAGCACCGGCUAACUCCGUGCCAGCAGCCGCGGUAAUACGGAGGGUCCGAGCGUUAAUCGGAAUUACUGGGCGUAAAGCGCGCGUAGGUGGUUCAGUCAGUCAGAUGUGAAAGCCCCGGGCUCAACCUGGGAACUGCAUUUGAAACUGGGAGACUAGAGUCUUGUAGAGGGGGGUAGAAUUUCAGGUGUAGCGGUGAAAUGCGUAGAGAUCUGGAGGAAUACCGGUGGCGAAGGCGGCCCCCUGGACAAAGACUGACGCUCAGGCACGAAAGCGUGGGGAGCAAACAGGAUUAGAUACCCUGGUAGUC
rnacentral:rRNA from 1 species